rnacentral:lncRNA from 1 species
AAAAAUGUUUUAAAAUGAAAGAGUUAUGACUGUUUUAGCGAAAGAGGGUAAAGCUGAAACGAGAUUGAAAACUGUUAUGAACGUCCACUUUUGAUGCACUGUUUGGGAUACCUAAUGAACCCGAAUUGGGUAAUUUGUAUUUUUUAAAAAUAGUCUUACAUACCAUGUAUAACAUAUCCAAAAAUCAGAUUAAUCGGAGUUAUGAGCAAUGCGUUAGAAAAUCGCAAAGUGAGCUAUUGAAAAAUUAGUAUAAACCAAGUCCCACAUCGACUAAAUUGAGAACUUCACCAUUUUCUAAACCUAUAAAUAGAAGGGCUUGGCCUUUGUUUCA